rnacentral:rRNA from 1 species
UACGUAGGUCCCGAGCGUUGUCCUGAUUUAUUGGGCGUAAAGCGAGCGCAGGUGGUUUAUUAAGUCUGGUGUAAAAGGCAGUGGCUCAACCAUUGUAUGCAUUGGAAACUGAUAGACUUGAGUGCAGGAGAGGAGAGUGGAAUUCCAUGUGUAGCGGUGAAAUGCGUAGAUAUAUGGAGGAACACCGGUGGCGAAAGCGGCUCUCUGGCCUGUAACUGACACUGAGGCUCGAAAGCGUGGGGAGCAAACAGG